GAUGAACGCUGGCGGCGUGCUUAACACAUGCAAGUCGAACGAAGCACUUUAUUUGAUUUCCUUCGGGACUGAAUAUUUUGUGACUGAGUGGCGGACGGGUGAGUAACGCGUGGGUAACCUGCCUUGUACAGGGGGAUAACAGGUGGAAACGGCUGCUAAUACCGCAUAAGCGCACAGCAUCGCAUGAUGCAGUGUGAAAAACUCCGGUGGUAUAAGAUGGACCCGCGUUGGAUUAGCUAGUUGGUGAGGUAACGGCCCACCAAGGCGACGAUCCAUAGCCGAGCUGAGAGGGUGACCCGCCACAUUGGGACUGGGACACGGCCCAAACUCCUACGGGAGGCAGCAGUGGGGAAUAUUGCACAAUGGGCGAAAGCCUGAUGCAGCGACGCCGCGUGAGCGAAGAAGUAUUUCGGUAUGUAAAGCUCUAUCAGCAGGGAAGAUAAUGACGGUACCUGACGAAGAAGCACCGGCUAAAUACGUG
rnacentral:rRNA from 1 species